ACCAGCUGUAGCUGGAGCCUGGCAUACACAAGCCUCUCCUGAAAGGGGGCUGGGGGAAGCGGGAAACGGCAGCCUCAACAGCAGGAGCCAGGGAUGACCUGGAAGGCUUGAGUUCUGGAGGUGGGACCAGCCAGCCUUGAUCACAAGCUAAGAUGGAACUUCAUCUUCCUAGGUCAGUCCGGGGGAACACGGGAUGUCUUUGAAGAGCCAAACUGUGUGGAUGGAGCAGGAGGGAAGAUUUACAGGUGCCUCCUGUGUGCUGCCUGUCGAGUACAGAAGAGAGGAAGGGAAGUCGUCCUCCCAGGAGAGGUGACAAGAGUGGCUUCUAGUCCCUGCUCCAUCACCUGCUAGCAGCCUGGCGUACAGUAAGCACGUUAAUCCUUGUGGACUCAAAAUGACAACUGAGGAAUACUGAUUUAACAGUCGGAAAGCUGGACUAUCUGGGAAGAGAGGCCUUGGUGAACAUCUCAACUGGAAGUGCCAUACCUGAUGAUAGGAAGGAAAUGAGCUUGAACACUUCUUGGCAUUUGCAUAGCAAUGUGAUUCUUUUAAAUGCUCUUUCAGGUGUAGUCUUGUUUCUGAUCUGGGCGUUCCUUGGUGAAAUGGAAGAGAUGUUCAGUACCCUAUUCAGCCAGCAGCCAGUGUUAAGAAUCUGCACUGAGGGUUAUGAGGAAGGAGACCGACAUUCAGAGAGGGCACAUAGUGCCUGAAGUCACACAGCAUCCUUUUCAGGAUAUUCUUCUCAGAUAAAAUUUCUAAUUGUGUUUAUGCUUGUGACAACCUAAACAAACAGAAAAAGGCACCAGGUCCUCCUCACUUCCUCAUUCCUCCAGCUACCAUCCCAGUGGUGGUCAAGGGUUGAGGAAGGGCAAGAGGGAGCCUGGAGCACAGGGAGAAAACUGACUGGUAACUUUGCAGACUCUUCUAUGGAACUAGACAGGGACUGGGCCUGAGCCAGCUUUCAGGUAAGAAGCAGCUGAGAAAGGUGCAGAGUAAGCAGGACACAGGAAGAGGGAAGUAGAGAAAAGGAAGAAAAAGGCAUUUUGGCUGAAGCUCCAAACUGAACCUACUAUGUCUUGUGUCCAGCCACUGGACCUUCAAGGGAGGCCAGCCCAUCUCAGAAAAUGACACAGGUAACAACUAGAGAAAAGAGUCAUACAGGAAACAACAAUACACCUGACAAAUAGCAAUCAUUGUGUUUAAAUAGAGUUCUGAGUACACCUGUUUAAAUCUAUCAUCCUUGCAUAAGCAGUAUGGCCUUCAUUAGUAGGUAACCCACCUAGUGAAAUAAAUCUCUUUUGGACACUUUGACACUUCUGCAAAGCAAAUAGAGCCAUAAUUUUCUAAAGACCAAAUACAUCUGGAUGAAAACCAAUGUAUCUUUUGCAAGGGUCAGUUCCUCCCCAUUCUGUGUGAAUCGGUGUUUCCCAAAGGUUGCCACUUAAAUCAAUGCAGAUUUAUUUCUUAUGACUCCACCACGUAUUUCCAGAGGACUCUUCUGGCAAUGCCCCUUUGUAUCAAAAUCUGGUUAUAACAGCUCAGCCUGGCCUCAGUAAGUUAUCACUGCUGUCCACUGCCAGCUGUGACCUCAUUUUACUCCAGCACCUGUUUUAUUCUUUGCUCUACAAUUAGUAGACUUCAGACUGUAUCGUUCUCCUUUUUAUUAGCAGGUUUCCCUUUUCUGGCAGCCUUUUCACAAAAACCAUUUAGAACUUCCACACUGUUUACCACAAGGCAUCCCCAAAGUGUCUGUAGAAAUGACCUGGUAGAUUAACUUGGAAUUCUUCAGAACUCCAAUCAGCUGAAGCUGUCCAGAUCAAUUAACAUAUAUUCAAAGUUUGCAAAAAUGCCUGAUUUCAAAGGUUGGGAAAAGUAAGGAUUUCAGAUUUAGGACAAGCUUAGCCAUAAUUCUUGAUAAGAACAUUCCCUCUCUAAAAUUUUAUAACAAUUCUCUGUAUUGUAAUAUUCAUUCAAGAUAGAGUGAGAGGGCUUUUGGAAAACGACCCUUAAAAAAAUAUUACCCAGUAGAUGGUUUCCACAAACGUGAAAGUGAAACAGGAAAAAAAAAAUCACUAUUUUAGGUACCUGAUACAUUCUGGCAUGAUAUUUGAAAAACAUGCUGUUUUAAAAGAAAUUUUUCCAUGAGGAAACCUGAAUACUCUGGAUAGAAAUUUCCAGAGAUAAAUAAAAAGCCCACAUCUUCACAAGGAAUGCUAACUGAAGUCAAUGAUAUUUAGGGGGAUGAUCACUUAAUUCCGAAUGGCCCAAGAUUGGCCAUCCUUUUUACUGUAGAUGCGACACACUUUGUUAGACAUGGCUUGACCUACAUUUGGCUGGUGCCUCAGCCUGCUCCCUAAAAUAUAUCCAAUUGAUAUUUGUGAACACCUACUAUGUACAAGACAUUUCCAGUAGGCACUGUGGGGCAGUUAAGUAUAAGGCUGGUUCCUGCCUCACAGCAUCUGUCAUCACUCCAAAGGCAGCAUACAUGAAAAUAACUAUAUGAGAUAUGUUGACAGUUUAAUACCACAACUGGUCUCAAGAAAUACAGGAAAGCUGAAGAGAGGAAGAAUAUUCAUUAGCAUCUGAGCAAAAUGUGACAUUUGUUAGUGAACUGAACAGUGUGGUUUCUAUUCCUGGACCUAUGAGGUGUCACCAUUCAGCUAUUCCGCUGGUGUUCAGGGUGCGGUGGGGUUGAGUUCAGAGAUCAUUAAAGCUCUUAGUAAAACAAACACAAAGUUUCUCCCUGAGGGAGGUGCCUUUGAGCCCCUACAUCCACAAACAAUAGCCUCCAGCAUAUUUCCAGGUAGGAGUCAAUUCUUCUAAUCCUAGCCUUACGAAAAGUUAUUAUAAUGUUCUACAACUUUUUCUUCUAAAGAUUUGGAAAAGCUAUAAUGGGUUUUCCUGCUCUAGAGCUUUGAUUGUCAGUUAAUUUCCUAAUUUGGAGCUAAUUACUAAACUGCUUAAAAACUUAAAGCACAGGCAAUUGUCUACUGACAAGCUUUCCAUUUAUCACCAUAGUGUCUCAGAACAUGGCCCUUAGCCAAGAACAGAGGCUGCCUUUUCUACCACAGAACAGACUACUCCUUGUCAGUGUGUCUCUGCCAAAUGGUUUCUUGGCCAUCAUUAUCCAACUUGCUAUCUUCAUAAGUUAAAGUUAUAUAGGAAUUUGAAGUCUUUUAAAGAGCUGGGAGAAACUUUCAGAGUUAAUGCUACAUAAAGCAAAACUAUAAACCACAUAUUUUUCCGUCUGGGGAUUUUUACUAUAAAAGCAGCUUAAUUCAUGGACAUUUGGAGAAAGCCUUGUGUUCCAACUUUCUUUGGUGGCUUCCUUAGCUAAUUGGUUCUUCAUUUUACUUAUUUUUUUUCUCUCAUUUUUGGAAAUAGUGCAGCCCAGUUUUUGUUUUGUUUUAUUCUAAUGGAUAAUGAAGUUGGACAGUGGUCAUGCUGUUAAGAAGUAUCUGUUAGCUUAACUGUGAGUUAGGUUCUUACCAAAAGUAAUGGAAAAUGCAGUUUUAUCAGCUUUGAAAAGUGAGCAGUAUCUCUGGUAACAGGAUAAUGGAGGUGAUAUUUUUAAAUGAUAUAAAAAGACAUAUGCUAUUUAUCAGUUUCUCAAGCUAUGUCUGGAGGGUCCUUUCCUAGCUCAGGCCUGCUAUGGAACAUGUGAACAGUGCCCCAGAGAGCUGUGCAACCAGCUAACCAACACCACCCCCAAGCUUACUAUUUAAAGAGCCACUUUUACCUCAUUUGGUAUUUCUUGUAACAUAAUUCCAGUUUUUACUAAAAAUACAUAUUUCAUAUAUGCAUGGAAAAAGAGUAGGAAUAAACAAAAAUGUUAACAGCUGAAUCACUACAAAAAGAGAUGUAUGUUUUUGAUGCUUUUCCUCAUUUUCAAUAAAGAUCAUAUAGUAUAUAAUCAGGAGAAAGUAGGACAUGUCAUUUCAGUAAGUUCUGAAAAUCCCACCUUCUCCAGGAAGCAAUACAUGACUGAAAGUUUUUUGGUUUCUUUUUCUUUUUAUGCUUUCACUCCAAUGUGGA